CAAAGGCUUAGUCCUGGCCUUACUAUCAACUUUAACUCAAUACACACAUGCAAGUAUCCGCCCCCCUGUGAGAAAGCCCCGGCCCCCUUCUCUGGGGCCAGGAGCUGGUAUCAGGCACACUCAAGUAGCCCAUGACACUUAGCUUAGCCACACCCCCAAGGGAAACUCAGCAGUGAUAAACAUUAAGCCAUAAGUGAAAACUUGACUUAGGCAGGGUUAAUACAGGGCCGGUUAAACUUGUGCCAGCAACCGCGGUUAGACGAGUCGACCCAAGCUGAUAGAACACGGCGUAAAGUGUGGCCUGGGUUCAAUUAAAACUAAAGUCGAAGACCUCCCAGACUGUUAUACGUUUAUGGAGGCAUGAAGCCCAACUACGAAAGUGAUUUUAUUAUACCACUGGCCACGAAAACUGAGACACAAACUGGGAUUAGAUACCCCACUAUGCUCAGCCGUAAACAAAGUACCUUAUUUUCACAUCACCGUCCGCCUGGAAAUUACGAACGUCAGUUUAAAACCCAAAGGACCUGGCGGUGCUUAACAUCCCCCUAGAGGAGCCUGUUCUAGAACCGAUAACCCCCGUUAAACCUCACCUUUUCUUGCCCCCUCCCGCCUAUAUAUCGCCGCCGUCAGCUUACCCUGUAAAGGCUUCAAAGUAAACAAAAUUGAUCACAGUCCAAAACGUCAGGUCAAGGUGUAGCGUAUGAAAAGGAAAGAAAUGGGCUACAUUCACUAAAAUAGUGAAUACGAAUACUGUAUUGAAAGAUAUGGUUGA
rnacentral:rRNA from 1 species